CUUCGGCUCGCGCACGGUGCGCGCACCCACUGACCUGCGCCCACUGUCUGGCACUCCCUAGUGAGAUGAACCCGGUACCUCAGAUGGAAAUGCAGAAAUCACCCGUCUUCUGUGUCGCUCACGCUGGGAGCUGUAGACCGGAGCUGUUCCUAUUCGGACAUCUUGGCUCCUCCCCAAGAGUUCUGGAGUCUGAGAAGUCAAGGAUCGGGGUGCUGGCCUAUUCAGUUCCUGGUAAGGGCUGUCUUCCUGGCUUGCAGUUGAACUACUUCUUGCUGUGUCUUCACAAGCCUGCCCUGCCCUCCCUCCUGUGCCUAUAAAGACUCCAGACUCGGUAGAGGGAAGAGAAGCAGCUUGACUGGACAGAGGUGACUUGACUUCAGAGGGAUGGCAGGACUUUGGAGGAGAGACAACUUGACUUUGGAGAGACUGCUUGACUUCAGGGAAGAGCUGACCUGAGACAGCUGAACUUUGGGGGAAGAUUACCUGCCUGUCCUGUCCCCUCUCCAGCUCUCCUCUCCACUAGAGCCAUUUCCAUUGCUAAAUAAAAUUCUCCACUUCCACCAUC
rnacentral:lncRNA from 10 species